rnacentral:rRNA from 1 species
CCUAGGGGAGGCAGCAGUGGGGAAUAUUGCGCAAUGGGCGAAAGCCUGACGCAGCGACGCCGCGUGAGGGAUGAAGGUCUUCGGAUCGUAAACCUCUGUCAGCAGGGAAGAACGGUCACUGUGCUAAUCAGCAGUGAAUUGACGGUACCUGCAAAGGAAGCACCGGCUAACUCCGUGCCAGCAGCUGCUGUAAUACGGAGGGUGCGAGCGUUAAUCGGAAUUACUUGGCGUAAAGCGCUCGUAGGCGGGCUUUUAAGUCAGCGGUAAAAAUUCGGGGCUCAACCCCGUCCGGCCGUUGAAACUGGGAGCCUAGAGUGGGCGAGAAGAAGGCGGAAUGCGUGGUGUAGCGGUGAAAUGCAUAGAUAUCACGCAGAACCCCGAUUGCGAAGGCAGCCUUCCGGCGCCCUACUGACGCUGAGGCACGAAAGUGCGGGGAUCGAACAGGAUUAGAUACCCGGGUAGUC